CCUACGGGUGGCAGCAGUGAGGAAUAUUGGUCAAUGGGCGCGAGCCUGAACCAGCCAAGUCGCGUGAGGGAAGACGGUCCUAUGGAUUGUAAACCUCUUUUGUCGGGGAGCAAAAGACGCCACGCGUGGCGUUCCGAGAGUACCCGUAGAAAAAGCAUCGGCUAACUCCGUGCCAGCAGCCGCGGUAAUACGGAGGAUGCGAGCGUUAUCCGGAUUUAUUGGGUUUAACGGGUGCGCAGGCGGAAGAUCAAGUCAGUGGUAAAAUUGAGAGGCUCAACCUCUUCGAGCCGUUGAAACUGGUUGUCUUGAGUGAGUGAGAAGUAUGCGGAAUGCGUGGUGUAGCGGUGAAAUGCAUAGAUAUCACGCAGAACUCCGAUUGCGAAGGCAGCAUACCGGCGCUCAACUGACGCUCAUGCACGAAAGUGUGGGUAUCGAACAGGAUUAGAUACCCUGGUAGUC
rnacentral:rRNA from 1 species